rnacentral:rRNA from 1 species
GAUGAACGCUGGCGGCGUGCCUAAUACAUGCAAGUCGAGCGAACAGACGAGGAGCUUGCUCCUCUGACGUUAGCGGCGGACGGGUGAGUAACACGUGGAUAACCUACCUAUAAGACUGGGAUAACUUCGGGAAACCGGAGCUAAUACCGGAUAAUAUAUUGAACCGCAUGGUUCAAUAGUGAAAGACGGUUUUGCUGUCACUUAUAGAUGGAUCCGCGCCGCAUUAGCUAGUUGGUAAGGUAACGGCUUACCAAGGCAACGAUGCGUAGCCGACCUGAGAGGGUGAGGGGCAACACUGAAAGGAAGCCGGGGACCAGCCCCUGGGGGGGGGCGGAGGAGGGGAUCCUCCCGCAAGGGGCGAAGGCCGGACGGGACAGCGGCGGGGGAGGGAUGAAGUUCUUGGAAUCGAAAAACUCUUUUAUUAGGGAAAAAAAAGGUUUAAGUAAACUAUGCAGUUCUUGAGGUUCCCUAAUAAGAAAACCAGGGCAAACCACGGG